UACGAAGGGUGCAAGCGUUAAUCGGAAUUACUGGGCGUAAAGCGUGCGUAGGCGGUUGGCUAAGUCAGAUGUGAAAGCCCUGGGCUCAACCUGGGAAUGGCAUUUGAAACUGGCUGGCUAGAGUGUGAUAGAGGAUGGCGGAAUUCCCGGUGUAGCGGUGAAAUGUGUAGAGAUCGGGAGGAACAUCCGUGGCGAAGGCGGCCAUCUGGAUCAACACUGACGCUGAGGCACGAAAGCGUGGGGAGCAAACAGG
rnacentral:rRNA from 1 species